AAGUCGUAACAAGGUUUCCGUAGGUGAACCUGCGGAAGGAUCAUUAAUAAAUGCUUCAUUGCAUCCACCUUUUGUGCACUGUAAAAUUUUUUCACUUAAGCUUUGUCUGAUUGAUAUUUGUACCGAAAGGGACAAGAAUUUUAAUCUAAAACAACUUUUAACAAUGGAUCUCUUGGCUCUC
rnacentral:misc_RNA from 1 species